ncrna:Pseudomonas putida DOT-T1E Proteo-phage-1 RNA
CCACUGCCAGCGUGGCCCGAAAGGGAUAACUGGACGCGGAUAAGCCGGUAGUGCCGCGAUGCAGGAAAACACCGGCAGCC